rnacentral:rRNA from 1 species
UGAUCCUGGCUCAGGAUGAACGCUAGCGGCAGGCGUAAUACAUGCAAGUCGAACGGUAAGCCCCUGCUUGCAGGGGACACGAGUGGCGCACGGGUGCGUAACGCGUAUGCAACCUACCUUUAACUAAAGAAUAGCCCCGAGAAAUCGGGAUUAAUACUUCAUAAUAAUAAGUUUUGGCAUCAUUACUUAUUUAAAGCUCCGGCGGUUAAAGAUGGGCAUGCGUGGCAUUAGUUAGUUGGUGAGGUAACGGCUCACCAAGACAGCGAUGCCUAGGGGUUCUGAGAGGAUUUUCCCCCACACUGGUACUGAGACACGGACCAGACUCCUACGGGAGGCAGCAGUAAGGAAUAUUGGUCAAUGGACGAAAGUCUGAACCAGCCAUGCCGCGUGCAGGAUGACAGCCCUAUGGGUCGUAAACUGCUUUUAUAUGGGAAGAAACCCCACCACGUGUGGUGGGCUGACGGUACCAUACGAAUAAGGAUCGGCUAACUCCGUGCCAGCAGCCGCGGUAAUACGGAGGAUCCAAGCGUUAUCCGGAUUUAUUGGGUUUAAAGGGUGCGCAGGCGGACUAAUUAGUCAGUGGUGAAAUCUCUCGGCUCAACCGAGAAACUGCCAUUGAUACUGUUAGUCUUGAGUACAGUUGUAGUAGGCGGAAUAUAGCAUGUAGCGGUGAAAUGCUUAGAUAUGCUAUAGAACACCGAUCGCGAAGGCAGCUUACUAAGCUGUAACUGACGCUCAGGCACGAAAGCGUGGGGAGCAAACAGGAUUAGAUACCCUGGUAGU